CCGCACCGUGCCCUGCCCGCCCCGAGGGACGGCGGACCCCGCUCUUCCUCGGCCGUGCCCGCGGGCUGCCCGGGCCAUGGGGCGCGCAGGGGCGCUGGUGCUGCUGCUCCUCUGGCUGGGCGCGGAGCUGGCGAGUGCGGGUGGAAAGAAGUCCUACAGUGGGCCAUGUGGGGGCCGUGAUUGCAGCGCUGGAUGCAAAUGUUUUCCAGAGAAGGGCGCACGGG